rnacentral:rRNA from 1 species
UAAACCGGAGGAAGGUGGGGAUGACGUCAAGUCAUCAUGGCCCUUACGACCAGGGCUACACACGUGCUACAAUGGCGGGUACAAAGGGAAGCCAACUCGCGAGAGCAAGCGGACUUCCUAAAGUCCGUCUUAGUCUCGGAUUUGGAGUCUGCAACUCGACUCCAUGAA